CAGGGCUGGGGUUUGAGCAUCAGCAUAAUUAGGGGUGACUGGUGAUAUUGGCGCUGGGCCUCCUGCACAGGGUUGGAUUCCAGACCGGUCCCGCCCCCUAUUGUCACAAGUCACAAGGCCACAGAGAAGGACUGCUGUGCACGGGGGGCACCCUGCCUCCCUCCUUGUGCCUCUCACCUGCGGGCAGGUGGAAUUGAGCGUGUUCCAGACACUUCAUUUCCCAGGAAUUUAUGGAGGGUUUUAUCUUCCCUCUUUGAUUACCGAUCCUGGCCUGUCUAUGCUGAUGUGGAGAAUACAUAGACAAGAUGUGACACCACUCACUGGGGAGACAACAGACCCAUGAGACUCACCAGGAGGGACCCCAGGCACUGAACCACAGGUAGAAUGGGCAGCUGGUCUCCGGCAAGGUUGCAGGAGCUCUCCGUGGCGCUGAAGUCCAUCUACGAGCCCCUAGCCCCACACAUCUGGCUGCUCCUACUUCCUGAGCCCAUGACCCAGUCCUGCUUGACCUUGAAGUGUGGCAGGAUGGGGCACUGGAGCAGGUCUGCUGGAAAGGCCCUGGCACAGCCUGCACUUCAGCACCUGCUCCUCCAUUAGCAAGUGGGUCCAGGUGUGCUAUGGCCUGGGCUCCUGCCUGGGAACACCUCCUCUGGUGAAGGUGCCCACCUGACACCAAGCACCUGGGAUGAAAGGGCCAGUGCAGCCUGACUAGGAGUGGACUGAGGCCCCUCCAACUACCUGGAUGCCAGCACCCACCUCAAUUCCACUCCUCCAUCCCCAGCCUCUCCCUCAGCCACCCGCUCUGAAACAGUUCCUGUAUCCCUGCCUGCGCUCCACGCUCUUUGAGCCUGUGGCCACUUCCCAAGUACCCCUGACCUUUGCAUAAACUGUUCCUCACCCCAGAUCGCCAUUCUUUCCCUCCUUAACCUGGAGAACUCCUCCACAUGAUUCAAAGCCCAUUUCAAAGGCCCUUCCUCCAGGAAGCCGGCCCUGACCCUCCUGGAAACAGCCAAGUCCCAGGAAGUCAGGGUGGCUAGAGCCGUGAGGCCGGACAUGGUGAGGGAGGCCAGAAGAUCUGUCUAGGUCCCACUGCGCAGGCCCCUGCAGACCAAAGAGGGGCCUCAAAUGCAACCCAGGCAAUGGGGAGCCACAGCAGGGAUUAAGGGGGAGCAGCACAGCCAACGUGAGGUGCCUGGGCGGGGCUUUAAAAGGCGCUGCCAGGUGCCUUCUCCAUCCUAAGCCUGUGUGAGGAGCCCCGGCCCAGGUUGUCAGGGGUCCCAGGCUCGGCGUUGGCGCCAACGCCCGGCUCGCCAAGUGAACAUUCUUCCGCUCGCUCGGGGAGUUUUAUGGCUCGCGGUGCUUCCUCCGCAAUGGUCUGUGCUGUUUACGAACCCCUCUCCGGCUUGGAAAUAGACUGUCUUUCCUGAACGAUUUUCUCUUUUCCCAUUUACUAAACAUUGAUUUCCCCCCUCCUGCGCCUCUAAUA